rnacentral:rRNA from 1 species
AGUGAACGCUGGCGGUAGGCCUAACACAUGCAAGUCGAACGGCAGCACAGAGGAGCUUGCUCCUUGGGUGGCGAGUGGCGGACGGGUGAGGAAUACAUCGGAAUCUACUCUGUCGUGGGGGAUAACGUAGGGAAACUUACGCUAAUACCGCAUACGACCUACGGGUGAAAGCAGGGGAUCUUCGGACCUUGCGCGAUUGAAUGAGCCGAUGUCGGAUUAGCUAGUUGGCGGGGUAAAGGCCCACCAAGGCGACGAUCCGUAGCUGGUCUGAGAGGAUGAUCCGCCACACUGGAACUGAGACACGGUCCAGCCUACUACGGGAGGCAGCAGUGGGGAAUAUUGGACAAUGGGCGCAAGCCUGAUCCAGCCAUACCGCGUGGGUGAAGAAGGCAUUCGGGUUGUAAAGCCCUUUUGUUGGGAAAGAAAUCCAUCUGGUUAAUACCCGGGUGGGAUGACGGUACCCAAAGAAUAAGCACCGGCUAACUUCGUGCCAGCAGCCGCGGUAA